rnacentral:rRNA from 1 species
AGUGAACGCUGGCGGUAGGCCUAACACAUGCAAGUCGAACGGCAGCACAGUAAGAGCUUGCUCUUACGGGUGGCGAGUGGUGGACGGGUGAGGAAUACAUCGGAAUCUACUUUUUCGUGGGGGAUAACGUAGGGAAACUUACGCUAAUACCGCAUACGACCUACGGGUGAAAGCAGGGGAUCUUCGGACCUUGCGCGAUUGAAUGAGCCGAUGUCGGAUUAGCUAGUUGGCGGGGUAAAGGCCCACCAAGGCGACGAUCCGUAGCUGGUCUGAGAGGAUGAUCAGCCACACUGGAACUGAGACACGGUCCAGACUCCUACGGGAGGCAGCAGUGGGGAAUAUUGGACAAUGGGCGCAGGCCUGAUCCAGCCAUACCGCGUGGGUGAAGAAGGCCUUCGGGUUGUAAAGCCCUUUUGUUGGGAAAGAAAAGCAGCAGGUUAAUACCCCGCUGUUCUGACGGUACCCAAAGAAUAAGCACCGGCUAACUUCGUG